GUCGCCUACGGGACGCAGCAGUGAGGAAUAUUGGUCAAUGGGCUUACGCCUGAACCAGCCAAGUCGCGUGAGGGAAGACUGCCCUAUGGGUUGUAAACCUCUUUUGUCAGGGAGCAAUUGGCGCUACGAGUAGCGUUAUCGAGAGUACCUGCAGAAAAAGCAUCGGCUAACUCCGUGCCAGCAGCCGCGGUAAUACGGAGGAUGCGAGCGUUAUCAGGAUUUAUUGGGUUUAAAGGGUGCGAAGGCGGAAUGACAGGUCAGCGGUAAAAUCGCGG
rnacentral:rRNA from 1 species